UACUGAAACACUGGUUCUCAUACAAUCAUCAAAGUUAAGAUACAUCAAGCCUGAUCAGUACCUAGAUGGGUGACUGCUUGGGAAUACCAGGUGCUGUAAG
rnacentral:rRNA from 1 species